AUUGAACGCUGGCGGCAUGCCUUACACAUGCAAGUCGAACGGCAGCACGGGAGCAAUCCUGGUGGCGAGUGGCGAACGGGUGAGUAAUAUAUCGGAACGUGCCCAGUCGUGGGGGAUAACGCAGCGAAAGCUGUGCUAAUACCGCAUACGAUCUACGGAUGAAAGCGGGGGAUCGCAAGACCUCGCGCGAUUGGAGCGGCCGAUAUCAGAUUAGCUAGUUGGUGGGGUAAAGGCCUACCAAGGCGACGAUCUGUAGCUGGUCUGAGAGGACGACCAGCCACACUGGAACUGAGACACGGUCCAGACUCCUACGGGAGGCAGCAGUGGGGAAUUUUGGACAAUGGGCGCAAGCCUGAUCCAGCAAUGCCGCGUGCAGGAUGAAGGCCUUCGGGUUGUAAACUGCUUUUGUACGGAACGAAACGGUGAGCUCUAAUACAGUUUGCUAAUGACGGUACCGUAAGAAUAAGCACCGGCUAACUACGUGCCAGCCGCCGCGGUAAUAC
rnacentral:rRNA from 1 species